AUUGAACGCUGGCGGCAGGCCUAACACAUGCAAGUCGAACGAGGGGCGGACGGGUGAGUAAUUUCUGGGAAACUGCCUGAUGGAGGGGGACAACUACUGGACACGGUAGCUAAUACCGCAUACCAUCGGAUGUGCCCAGAUGGGAUUAGCUAGUAGGUGGGGGAAAGGCUCACCUAGGCGACGAUCCAUAGCUGGUCUGAGAGGAUGACCAGACACACUGGAACGGAGGCACGGUCCAGACUCCUACGGGAGGCAGCAGUGGGGAAUAUUGCACAAUGGGCGCAAGCCUGAUGCAGCCAUGCCGCGUGUAUGAAGAAGGCCUUCGGGUUGUAAAGUACUUUCAGCGGGGAGGCGUUACCAACAGAAUAAGCACCGGCUAACUUCGUGCCAGCAGCCGCGGUAAUAC
rnacentral:rRNA from 1 species